AGGACUUCGGUCCUAGCGGCGGACGGGUGAGUAACGCGUGGGAACGUGCCCUUUGCUACGGAAUAGUCCUGGGAAACUGGGUUUAAUACCGUAUGUGCCCUUCGGGGGAAAGAAUUUCGGCAAAGGAUCGGCCCGCGUUGGAUUAGGUAGUUGGUGGGGUAAUGGCCUACCAAGCCGACGAUCCAUAGCUGGUUUGAGAGGAUGAUCAGCCACACUGGGACUGGCCCAGACUCCUACGGGAGGCAGCAGUGGGGAAUCUUAGACAAUGGGGGCAACCCUGAUCUAGCCAUGCCGCGUGAGCGAUGAAGGCCUUAGGGUUGUAAAGCUCUUUCGCUGGGGAAGAUAAUGACGGUACCCAGUAAAGAAGCCCCGGCUAACUCCGUGCCAGCAGCCGCGGUAAUACGGAGGGGGCUAGCGUUGUUCGGAAUUACUGGGCGUAAAGCGCGCGUAGGCGGAUUGGAAAGUUGGGGGUGAAAUCCCGGGGCUCAACCCCGGAACUGCCUCCAAAACUAUCAGUCUGGAGUUCGAGAGAGGUGAGUGGAAUUGCGAGUGUAGAGGUGAAAUUCGUAGAUAUUCGCAGGAACACCAGUGGCGAAGGCGGCUCACUGGCUCGAUACUGACGCUGAGGUGCGAAAGUGUGGGGAGCAAACAGGAUUAGAUACCCUGGUAGUCCACACCG
rnacentral:rRNA from 1 species